rnacentral:rRNA from 1 species
GCCACAGCCAUAUCACCCUGCAGCCCAAGACUGGUUGCCCACUGAAGCUAAGCAGCGUUGAGCCUGGUCAGUACCUGGAUGGGAGACCUCCUGGGAAAACUAGGUUGCUGCUGGAA